UACGUAGGGUGCAAGCGUUGUCCGGAAUUAUUGGGCGUAAAGAGCUCGUAGGCGGUCUGUCGCGUCUGCUGUGAAAAUCCAGGGCUCAACCCUGGACCUGCAGUGGGUACGGGCAGACUAGAGUGCGGUAGGGGAGACUGGAAUUCCUGGUGUAGCGGUGGAAUGCGCAGAUAUCAGGAGGAACACCGAUGGCGAAGGCAGGUCUCUGGGCCAUUACUGACACUGAGAAGCGAAAGCAUGGGGAGCGAACAGG
rnacentral:rRNA from 1 species